UGAUGAUCGAGCAUUGAUAAAAUCGAUUGCUUUUAAGCAAACCUGAAAUUACAAAAACCACAAAGCAGGCAGAAAGUGAUGAAGAUGCGUACCGAUAGGGAUUCAGAAGACAGAUGAGGACAGAGACCUGCACCAAUAGACAAUAGGACUGUCCACAUUAGAACGGAGAAGAUGAAGAAGACUGAAGUGUUGUUUCAGAAUGCCACAUUCGUUUGGUUGUCAAAGCAAAUUUUGAAAGUGUUACACAACUAUUUCUUUCAUCGACGAAAUCUGCCCGUGCCAACUUGUCUUCUGUCCGUAAAGCUACAGAAAGGGAGACCAACACAGCUUUUGUAGGAGGCCGGUGAUUUACCCUCAUUCCAGGAUAUAUAUAUAUCGCAUUUCAUCUCAUCAACGAAAUUUAUCGAUGUACUUUUAAUAUAGCAAUGGAAGCAAUAUUCAAACAUUUGUACUCGACUGUUGUAAAAUAUAUUUUACAACUGAUCAGGAUAGUUGCCAUUAUUGUGAUUGUGUCUUCCAGUUCAGUCUAUUUGCCUUCCUGGAGGGCUCCAUCUGAAUGCAUGCCUUGCCAUGUACCGCUACAUGUUUGUUUCCUGUGCGCCUCACUGAGCCAUCCGGCUUUCAUUCAGGGAAAUUCCGAUGGAUUGUGCAAUCAAAGAUUUCGUCGUGUCUGCCUCUCCAGCGUGCUCAUUUGCAACCAGACAAUCCGAUGGCAGUACUCUACAUUUGGGGGUUCCGGUGCUGAACUGCUGGUGUAUGCCAUGACAUCGAAAAGGUCAUUUUUAUCUCUGAUGGGAUAUAUGCUCUUGACCUCACUACCGACGCGGAUUUCCUCUUGUAAAGAUAAAGUUACACCACCAAGAAUACCGAAUAACGAUCUGAAAUCACUGCCUUAGGUCACCCGGCUGCAGAGCUGCGCACAAAGCCCGGUCUGUUCUUCAGCACUUAGUGCGAAGUAAAUUGCACAUCCCUUACAGUUGUUCAUUCUUUUGCCUGCUGCAGUGUAUCGACUUUACUACCUGAAUGGCAGCGAUGCCAUGGUGAAGUGAGUACACAGUCAGUUUAGUACUUCUCGCCUGGAUUAUUACCGACAGGAUUUUUCAGCAAUUUUGCGAGUUAUCUUCACUAUAAUUCCUCAUGGAUUAAAAAGGAAAAUAUAUAUGGCAUGUAAAGUUGGCUAUAGAUGGGUUGGUACCCUGCCGCCUUAGCCGUGUGGGUGCUUUGGGACUAUAACGUCUUUACCUCGUCGUAUAUAUUCAUCAUGGUAAUUCAGCAAUCUCCCAGUCUCGCCAUUUGUAACGGUUGCUUUAAGUGACACUAGCAGCGUUUACCAAAGUACAUGUGACCUCUUCCGGUUGGUAUUUUCCGGUUCAAGAGGCAGCAAAUGGCAGCUAGUCCUUUCAUUGGAGGAUUGGUGAUUCAUGUGACAGUAGCCUCGUCAUUUGUAAUUUGUUUGGUUUGGCAUCACUGCAAUGGUAUCUGGCUGUUUGUUUUCUACGACAUGUUAAAGUAACGGCCUAAAGUCCUUGACAUGGGCCGAAUUAUUUGUACUUUUCUGAAGCGUGACAACAUACAGAGCUCAGUCUGUCAUGUGAAAUACCACUUCACAGAUAUUGCUACAUCAGAUUAUUGUCGGUAUAAAUGUACGUGAUAAACUACAUCCAGGACACGUAAUUUAAUUACUACUACAUAAUUCUACUCUUCUCGUUGCCUAUGAAUAUUAGAAAUGGACAGUAUGUAUACUCUACUUCAUUUGGUCAUGCUCUUCGAAUGACUGGCGGCAAACAUGAAAACAUCAAUAUCAAACAACGCUUCACGUCAGGGUUACAUCCUAAGCCCUACACUAUCGCUUUUUACGUUAAGGUCAAAUGGAGGUGCCAGAUGCAGUACAUUCUUGAUGAAAUUGAGAAAGGCUACAGGCUCUCCAUUUGCCUUGGAUACAGAGCUCUAACAGUAGCACACUAUGUUCGGGAAAGGGCAUAUUUUACGCAUGCGAAAAUUUCUUGCUCUGACAAACAGGAAGGGUGGCACCUAUUGGCAAUGACUAUCCGCUACAAAAAAGGCGGUAGGUCAUAUAAGGCGAUGGUGUUUUGGGAUGGCUGGGACGUUACCCAUUUCACAAAGCUUGGCCCUGUCAAUGGGAGAUGGUGGGGAAAUCGACAUUAUCCUUUUCAUCUUGGAGGUGAAGCAUUUGGAAAGCACAAUUGGAAGUUCCAAGGAAAGAUGGCGAGGCUUAUGCUAUUUAAAUGUAUUCUAUCGCAGAAAUUUAUCGUCGAAAAUCUUGGUAGGUAUAUAUGUUUUCAAACUUGCAAUGCCAGAGAAGGGUGUGACAGUGCUUUACUGCAAUUUUAUCGUUCAAUGGGGGCUGCCUUUAGGUUUUAGGAUUUGACAUAUCAUGGAUUUAUUUCACUGAAGAUAUUCGUUUAAAAUCAGAAUAACACAAAGGAUCAGCACCGCGCGUGCAGUAUCGAGCCCGAAAACUUGGAAAAUAUUAGUUGACUCGUUGAAGCCCUGGCGUUU